rnacentral:rRNA from 1 species
AGAGUUUGAUCAUGGCUCAGAAUCAACGCUGGCGGCGUGCCUCAGACAUGCAAGUCGAACGAUUAAACUUUCCUUCGGGGAAGAUAUAAAGUGGCGCACGGGUGAGUAACACGUAGGUAAUCUACCUUCGAGUGGGGAAUAACAAUCGGAAACGAUUGCUAAUACCGCAUAAUGCAGCGGCACCUUAGGGUGACAGUUGUUAAAGGAGCAAUCCGCUUAAAGAGGAGCCUGCGGCAGAUUAGCUAGUUGGUAAGGUAACGGCUUACCAAGGCGACGAUCUGUAACCGACCUGAGAGGGUGGUCGGUCACACUGACACUGAAUAACGGGUCAGACUCCUACGGGAGGCAGCAGUGGGGAAUUUUCCGCAAUGGGCGAAAGCCUGACGGAGCAAGACCGCGUGGGGGAGGAAGGUCUGUGGAUUGUAAACCCCUUUUGUCAAGGAAGAACACAAUGACGGUACUUGCCGAAUCAGCCUCGGCUAACUCCGUGCCAGCAGCCGCGGUAAGACGGAGGAUGCAAGCGUUAUCCGGAAUGAUUGGGCGUAAAGCGUCCGCAGGUGGCAGUUCAAGUCUGCUGUCAAAGACCGGGGCUUAACUUCGGAAAGGCAGUGGAAACUGAACAGCUAGAGUAUGGUAGGGGCAGAGGGAAUUCCUGGUGUAGCGGUGAAAUGCGUAGAGAUCAGGAAGAACAUCGGUGGCGAAGGCGCUCUGCUGGACCAUAACUGACACUCAGGGACGAAAGCUAGGGGAGCGAAUGGGAUUAGAUACCCCAGUAGUCC